rnacentral:rRNA from 1 species
GCCCAGAGUUUGAUCCUGGCUCAGAACGAACGCUGGCGGCAGGCCUAACACAUGCAAGUCGAGCGAAGCCUUCGGGCUUAGCGGCGGACGGGUGAGUAACGCGUGGGAACGUGCCCUUUGGUACGGAAUAGCCCCGGGAAACUGGGUGUAAUACCGUAUGAGCUCUUCGGAGGAAAGAUUUAUCGCCAAAGGAUCGGCCCGCGUUGGAUUAGGUAGUUGGUGGGGUAAUGGCCUACCAAGCCGACGAUCCAUAGCUGGUUUGAGAGGAUGAUCAGCCACACUGGGACUGAGACACGGCCCAGACUCUUACGGGAGGCAGCAGUGGGGAACCUUGGACAAUGGGGGCAACCCUGAUCCAGCCAUGCCGCGUGAGCGAUGA